rnacentral:lncRNA from 1 species
ACAGUUUCUUUUAGAAGUGCCACCCACUAAUAUUACAACUAUUAACCCAUCUGAGCGUAAUAUUAAUGAAUUUAUUCUCUGUUCAUUUCAGUUCUGCUGCUGAAACACAUAUAUGAAGAGUUUCUUCAUGCACUUUAUGUGCACUUGUCCUGGGAAAUUGUAAAUCCUUCCUUUUCCUUCAAGAUCCAGCC